UCUAUAAGGAUGUUUAACCAGUGUGAUGUGCUAAGUUUGUGUCUUGUUUGGUUAGUAUGGUCUUUUUGGCAGUGGUUAUGGACAUAAGUGAGAAGUCAACUUCCAUACAUCAGACCACUCUCUUCCCGAGGACUCGCCCCCUGCCGGCCAUCAGAGGAACGCACGUUUCAGACGCCCUCUAUUCAAACCUGGAGGCGACAGUCCUCUCCUUUCACACAGUCUUUGGUAGGAACCAGCGGGGGGUAAGUGGGUUCAUUUAAAGGAGCAGUAAGUGGUCGCCACGACAACAUGUGGCCUGUCCCUCACUUCUGCUUUGGUCCCCCUGGUAACCAGGAAGUAGAUUAGUUAUAGAGUUCAUGAAGAAAAGGCGGUGAGGAGGAGGGGAUUAGCGAGGUGAGACGGCGUGCCCUCUUUCUUCCCCUGUGCUGUUCUCUCUCUCUCCUCUUUCCCAGGUUUACUUUUCAUCUGCUGGUAGAUGACAGGAUUUUAUCUCAAAACUAUCCAGUCUGUUUUUUUCUGUGUCUCUUAUGAUGAUCUUAGUCUCAGUUUGAAGAAGCGUCAAAGUAGAAAUCCUCCUAAACAAAUAAAACUAAAUAAAAGAAGUCGUCGUUCGGUCAGACUGUUACUCAAACUGAACAUUUUUGACCAGAUCUGAAUCCUGUUCUCCAUUUCUGGUCUCUGGGUUAAUCAGUCCUGAUGAUCUUUGCCUCCCUAACCAGAGAAGUGUCUCUGCUGUGACCUGUAAGCCUGCAAACAUCCCCAGGAAUGUUCUAGUGUGUCAGUGAAUGAAGCCCUGCUGCAUUAACACACUACCUCGAGACUCCUUUAAACUACAGGAGGUCGUUGACCUCUGCCUGUGUGUGUGCGUGUGUGUGUGUGUGUGUGCGUGCACUUGAGUGUAUGUGUGUGUCCACAGGUCGGAGUUCAGCAUGUGUUGGACGGACGAUGGAGGAAGUGGACGUGUGAGGUUUGUGGACUCUGGACAGUUUCACCUGAAUGCCUGACUGGCUGAGGUACGCCUUAGACGCGUUACCACGACAACCAUCCUUUCAAAGUAAAAGGCUCUUAAAUAUGAGCUUGACUCACCUGAGCAGCUGUUCCCUGUGUGUAGAGGAGGGUGAACUCUGUCAUCUUCAUAAGUGGUUCCUGGAGCGUGAUUAGAUGUUAGACCAGAGUCCAUGAGAAAGCAACACACACACAAACACACACA